UGGACACCGGGGUCAGGUGAGGCCACCUUUGGGUACAAAGACGCAAAGAUAAGGGCCGUGCGGACUUGUCCCCAGGAACAGUUCAGGUCAGGAUUGCAGCUGGAAAUUACAAGACAGAGCUGCAGAGACCAGGGAGUGGUGCAGAAGCUGAGCCCAGGAGAUGGCAUGCAGAGUCGCCCCAUGCCUCAAGUCUGCAGGUGAGACAGGAUGUGUCUUUCUGUAGAGCUUCAGCCAUUGAGAGAGAGUGGGGCGGGCAUGAGGCGUGCCAAUAGGUCAAUGAAACAGGAGCGGCCAGAGAGAGACCCAUUCACAGAUGAUGCAAGCAUUUCUGACAGAGGUGUCAAGGUAAUGCAAUGUGAAGAAGGUAGUCUUUUUGGCAAACAAUUUCUGGAAUACUGGAUAAAUGACAGGGGACAAUGGCCUUAAUCUUUACCUACACGACACAAAAAAUUAGCUUGAAACGAACGAUAGGCUUGAAUGUAAAGCUCAAACUAUAAGACUUCCUGCGAAAAACAUUGGAGAAAAUAUCUGUGACCUGGACGUGGGCAAAGAUUUCUUAGACAGGACGCAGAACACAAGAGCUACGAGAGAAAAUGUUUGAAAUUGGGACUUAUUGACAUUAGCAA
rnacentral:lncRNA from 1 species